rnacentral:snRNA from 1 species
CGAUGUAAGGGCGAUCUGGCUGCAACAUCUGUCACUCCAUUGACUGCCAGGGUUGAUUCUGCUGAUCUGUCUGGCAAGGUGGGCAUCCCCUUCCUCCCUUACCACUCUACGUGCGUCCCUCCUGAAGCGGCACGCUAGGUCAAAGAGGACGACCUUCCCUGAAUGGAAUGGUCUUUGGUCAAGGGUAUACAAGUAGCUGCGCUACCCUGCUAGAACCUCCAGACAAGCUCUCAAAUUUCCUGUAUUUGUUAAGGUUUGCUUUGUGUCCUAAUAUAUGGUCUGUUUUAGAGAGGAUGUUCCAU